rnacentral:rRNA from 1 species
AGGACGAACGCUGGCGGCGCGCUUAACACAUGCAAGUCGAGCGAGAACCGGUCCUUCGGGACUGGGGACAGCGGCGAACGGGUGAGUAACACGUGGGUAAUCAACCCCUGACACUGGGAUAGCCCGGGGAAACCCGGAUUAAUACCGGAUGGCCCAACAGCUCCUCGGGGCGGUUGGAAAAGGUAGCUUCGGCCUCCGGUCAGGGACGAGCCCGCGGCGGAUUAGCUUGUUGGUGAGGUAACGGCUCACCAAGGCGACGAUCCGUAGCUGGUCUGAGAGGACGAUCAGCCACACUGGGACUGAGAUACGGCCCAGACUCCUACGGGAGGCAGCAGUGGGGAAUCUUGCACAAUGGGCGAAAGCCUGAUGCAGCGACGCCGCGUGAGGGAAGAAGGCUUUCGGGUUGUAAACCUCUUUCAGAAGGGACGAGGCCACUCAGGUUAAUAGCCGAGAGGGUGACGGUACCUUCAGAAGAAGCCCCGGCUAACUACGCGCCAGCAGCCGCGGU